AGAUGAUGAUGAGGGAACUCAUCAACAUUAAUUUGAACCUAUCCCAAGCUUGGUAUAAGUUUUCACCACCUUUCUUCCUAAAGGUAAGAAUAUCACUUCUUAACUU
rfam:Solanum lycopersicum cultivar Heinz 1706 chromosome 10, whole genome shotgun sequence.